GCUAUUUUGGCAGAAAAAAUGUGAUGAUUUUAGAAUUCAUAAAUAUAUAAUUUUAAUUAUAUAGAUAGUA
rnacentral:tRNA from 1 species